AAAAAGCUCGUAGUUGGAUUUCUGUUGAGGGUGACCGGUCCGCUCUUUGAGCGCGUAUCUGGUUCAGCCUCGGCAUCCUCUUGGGGAACGCCAUUGUGCUUGAUUGCAUGAGGCGGUAUUCAAGACUUUUACUUUGAGGAAAUUAGAGUGUUCACUGCAAGCGUUAGCAAUUGAAUACAUUAGCAUGGAAUAAUAAUAUAGGACCUUGGUACUAUUUUGUUGGUUUCCAGAACUAAGGUAAUGAUUAAUAGGGACAAUUGGGGGCAUUCGUAUUAACGCGUCAGAGGUGGAAUUCUUAGAUUGCGUUACGACGAACUACUGCGAAAGCAUUUGCCAAGGAUGUUUUCAUUGAUCAAGAACGAAAGUAUGGGGAUCGAAGACGAUUAGAUACCGUCGUAGUCUAUACCAUAAACUAUGCCAACUAGAGAUUGGAGGUCGUUCUCUUUAUGACUCCUUCAGCACCUUAUGAGAAAUCAAAGUCUUUGGGUUCCGGGGGGAGUAUGGUCGCAAGGCUGAAACUUAAAGGAAUUGACGGAAGGGCACCACCAGGAGUGGAGCCUGCGGCUUAAUUUGACUCAACACGGGAAAACUUACCAGGUCCAGACAUAGUA
rnacentral:rRNA from 1 species